AGCCCCGUGGUGUAAUUGGCAACACAAGUGAUUUUGGUUCACUUAUUCUAGGUUCGAGUCCUAGCGGGGUUG
rnacentral:tRNA from 1 species